AAAAAAAAAAAAAAAAAAAAAAAAAAAAAAAAAAAGACAAUUGCUUACGUACGUCUGAAAAAUUACUUUCUGAUUUAUCUUUGUUAAAAGACUAAUAUUAAAAAUACUAUUUUUAUAUUACAAUCUAUUUCAAAUAUAUUUUUAGAGUUAAAUUUUAUUAAUAAACUAUUAGUAAUAACUGUUAUUUAUAUAAAAUUAUUAUUUUGUCUUUUCAAACAUGCUCUUCUAUCAUUAUCGACUUUUCUUAUUAGCGCUUAAGUUAGAGGUAUAAAAAAUAUUUUAAUUUUUGAUUUCUUCAAAUAUACCCUUCUACUAUCACCAAUAUUUUUUAUUUGCUCUUAAGUUAAGGACAAAAUAAGUAUUUUGAUAUUUUUUAAACUCAAAUAGAUAUUUAACUCACGUUUAACCUAAAUUAACUUAAUGGUUGGUAACUGUAGGAGUAUUUUGGAAUAACUGAUGAACAUAUGACGGGUAUAUUAGAAAUAAAAAAAAGUAAGAAUAAGUAAGAAAUUUUGGAAGUUUUGAAGGGUAUAUAUGUAAUUAUGCCAAAAAAACAAAAAAAGUAAUUUCCGAAUUAAAUUUUUAA
rnacentral:lncRNA from 1 species